GCCUUCCUGGUGUAGUGGUCCGCACGCUCGGCUCAUAUUCGAGAGGUCCAUGGUUCGAGUCCCAGCGAGAGCA
rnacentral:tRNA from 1 species